GGCUCUCUAAACUCAAGUUCUUUGUGAAUAAAAUCUAUACAAAUGACACUUAUUUUGUGUCUGUUGGAUCAUCUAUGAAUAAACAUCAAGAAAGACAAAGAAAAAGAUAUUGUCAGUUAAAUCAAAAAACUAUCUCUGAACAGAUUGUCCCAAUUUUCAAUAAUAUGAACGGGUACACAAAAACCGUGGAAUUUAAGGUCAUGACGAGGACUAAAGAUUUAUUUUUAGAAAUCGUCAAAAUGCGAGAACGGGACAAUACGAAGUUUUAGGCAAUGUACACGAGAAUUAAAUCCAGGGAUAUGAAUACAAAUAUUUCUUUGAUCGGUUCAAGUUCACACGUUCUCCUAUAUUCAUAUGAAGAAUACUUGUAACUACUAUAAAGUGCUUAAAUACUUAAGUUCAAUAAAUAUUUCACGUUAUAA